GCCGGCGGCGCGGACCUCCUUGUCAAUGGGAGCGCGGGGCCGGGCUGCCCGCAGGACGGUCAGGUGGGCCCCCCAGCUCGCUGCCAGCGCGGCCUCUGUCCCUCUCGGGCCGGCUCUCCAUCUUGUCGCCCGUAGCCCGCCUUCUCCGUGGCUCUCCAGCCGCUGGGGCCGCAGAGCCGAGGCCGGGUUACCUCAGGAAACGCGAUGUGGUAGUGGGUCGGAAUAAACCCGCGCGCCCCAGAAUUCGCCUUGGGGGCGUAAGGACAGAUUCGGACUUUUCGUUUCCUAUGUCCACAUUUAUUGAGCACCUAAUAUGUGACACCCGAGGCUGUAAGAAGAGGAACGCAGCGGGCGGAGAAAAGCCAGAGCUUUUUCUCUGUGAGCCGCUGCCUCCAGGGCCAUAGCCGACCCUGCUCCGAGAUCCCAGCCGCCGCUCUCCGUGCAGGAGGGGUGCCCACCCUGGGGAGGCCAGGGUGCCCGGAGUGGAGGGACAGGGCUUCAAGCGACCGGGAGUUUCCAGCAAACCCCUGAUCCCUGAGCAGUUUAUUUUAAAAGCUUUUGCAAAUGUUGGACGGUUUCGUUUGGUGGAGGCCGUCUUUGCACUAAAUUCUCCUGUCCUCCCCCUUCGAAACGCACAAAAUGAAUUUUGAACAGAUUUUGGAUGAGAGGUUUUCUUCCUUUUUUCAUCUUCUGAAACAUUUCCCCCUCAUUUCUUCUCAGAUAAAGACCCAGAAACCCGGGACAGUUACUCGGUGUACAGCUAGUCAAAUACUGAGGAAACCAGUCGAUAUUUGCCAAAGAUUGGGCAUGUUCUGGGUGGUCUCAGAUUUUGAAGAAACGACUUUUUUACUGCACAAAAUAGUUUUACAAUCAGUUCCAUCAGACAGCCCCAGGGGCUCUCCUAGGGAAAGGGGCCAAUAGGCAAGGUUGCAUGGGGAUAAGAGAGGCAAGCGGCCAGUGGAAAACGGUUUUUUGUUUUUUUUUUCCUAACAGUUGGGCAUUUCUGUAGCUCUGAAAGCAAACUUGUUUGUUUCAUUUCAACGAUAGAAAAAAAACACUCCUGUUUUGGAAAUGUAACCCAGCAUAAAAAUACAUUUGCAAUGGGGAAAAAGAAAGCAGUUUAGGGCCACCCAGAAGAAAAUAUUUUUUCCCUGAUUUUUUUUUAAUUUGGUAUUUCCCAGUGUGGGUUUGCCUCAUUUUACAAAUAGCUGCCCAUGUCAAGAUGUGGGUAUGUGAUUUAAAUAUUUUAAUUUGAAUCACAUUUUACAUAGUCUAGGAAACUGACAAAAGAAUCCUAUAGAGAAUUGUUUUAUAAAGUGAAUAACUGCUUCUCUACCUACCCGCCCCUCUCAUUCUUCUUUUCUGUGCGUGUUUUUGGGGGGCUGUUAUGGGAUAAAUCUUGUUUGGCUUAAAAAUCACUAAAACGCAGCCUUUCAAAUCCAAAACAGAGAGCUUAGGUACCCAACAUUCUAUAGAAUGUAUUAUUUCCUCAAGAGGUUGCUAGGAACAGUUAUGUAGAUCUACCAGGUGCAGGGAAGCACUCCACACCCUCACCCAGGUCCUGUAUCCCUGCAAGACUGCGUUGGAAAGACUGAAGAGGCUGGAGUGCAGUGGCGCAAUCUUGGCUCACAGGAACCUCCGCCUCCCAGGUUCAAGAGAUUCUCAUGCCUCAGCCUCGCGAGUAGCUGGAAUUACAGGAAGCUAAAGAAUGAUGCGCUCCACCACAAUGAGGGACUAAACAACAAAAAGGAGGCAUGAGAUUCAGGAAGCAAAAAAGGAAUUCAUCAUAUGAAGGAAUGAAGAUGUUCAAAAGAAAACCUUCAACCUCAUGCCAGAAGAUGUUCCCAGCUGUAUAAAUGCCUAACUCAGCUUCUAGUCCUUGGAAAUUAAGCAGCUCAUUGAAAAUUCAAGAGUUCCAGCCAGAAGCUACAGCUAGGCUCAGAUGUUGAAAUCAGUCUCUCCUGCUGAUCAAACUGUGACAUAGCCAAAGCAAUAGGCCUGGCUUUUCAGUUAAUUCUCAGCGAGCCCUUCCUUUCCCUCUGUAGUGGUUGGUGUGGCAUUUAUAAUAUAACUCCUUUAUGUACACUGUAAACCAUUCCUUCUCAGGGCAGAUGGAAGUAUGAAAUCUAUCUAUUUCAGUCUAUAAAAUUAUAUUUAGAGCGUUAGGUAAUGAAUGUCCUAGUAAAGUCGGCAGAGGACAGGUAGGUUAAAUGACAAGUAAGGAAUGACAGGCAGGUAGUAGAUGAUAAGAGUUGCAGAACAGUUUGGGGAGAAGGACUUUAUUUUUAAAUGCCUUUAGUAACACUACUACUACUAAUAUAGCAGUAAAGUACUUUUUACCCAUUAAUAAAUGGGUAAAAGUAAUUUCAAGUUAGCAAAUUUCUCAUUUAUAUGCAGUGUUUCAUAUAACAAUGGCUCAAUCCUGAUCCUUGUAGGAAACUACCUUAACCAUUGUGUAUUUUUUCAGCUUUUAAUGACUAUACAAGCACAUCUUAUCAUAUUUUAUAUUUUUUACAUAAAGAAGUCAUGCAACUUACACCAUGAACAUCUUUCCAUAUCAGGUCAUAUGGAACUUUUUCAUUCUUUUUAACAAUUGCAGAAUAUUGUGGGAAGUAGUUUAAUUUACUCAGCUAGUCUUCUAAUGAUGGACAUUUGGCUUGUUUACAAUUUCCAUUCUUUCACAAAGCCUGCUGCAACAAAUAACAUUAUUCAUAUGGCAUUUUGUUUAAGUGUGAGUAUAUAUGUAGGAUAAAUUUCUAGAAAGUAGACUUGCUGGAUUAAAAGUUAUGUACAUUUUAAAUUUUGAUAGAUAUUGCCAAAUUUCCAUGCAAAGGAUAAAUUUCUUUGUGUAGAAUUGCUUGGUUGCAUGGUGUAUGCAUUUCAUCUUUCAGAAAUGUUGUAUCAGUUUAUAUUCCUGGGCAAUAUGGGCAAACAAGAUAACCUGAAAAUCCCCCUAGAAAGACACCUAAAAUAUUAAAAAAUAUGUAACAAAUAUCUCAUGUAUAGAACUAGGCUUGCAAAAAAGUAAGGCAAAUCCCCAGGGAUCAAAAAAUGAAGAAGCUGAAAACCAAGGGAGGAAGCAGACAUUGAAGCCACUGAUGCCCUGGGGCAUUUAUAGUUGCAGGUAACCAAGAUGCUUGGUGUUUAACAGCCACAUGAAGAUAAGACCUUGGACCCAGCAAGGUGUAGAGAGGAGCCAAGACCCUCACAAGAAUCUGGAACCCUCAAGCACUAAAAGAUGGAUAGAAAAAAAUAACGAGCGAAAGGAGAUAAUAAGGCAAAUUGUCUGGCUUGGCUUAGGCAUACAGAGUAAAAACGAAAAGUAUGUACUGAGAAUUUAUAACCACAGGCCUGCCCUCAAGUGGGAUAGGAGUUCUAAUACAUACUACCUUGGGACACCUUGGGUGCCUAACAGAGGCAAAUGCAAAUCCUCUCCAAAGACUCAUGUCUUCAACCUAGGCUACCUAAGAUUCUGCUAUGGUUUGAAUAUUUUUCCCUCCAAAACUCCUGUUGAAAUUUAAUCCCCAUUGUGGCCAUAUUGAGAGGUGGGGUCUUUAAGAGGUGAUUGGGUCAUAAGGGAUCUGCCCUCAUUAAUGGACGAAUCCAUUCAUGGAUUAAUGGAUUAAUGGGUUAUCACAGGAGAGGGACUGGUGGCUUUAUGAGGAGAAAAGAGACCUGAGCUAGCAUACUCAGUCCUCUUACCAUGUGAUGCCCUGCACCACCUUUGGACGCUUCAGAGUCCCCACCAGCAAGAAGGCCCUCAGCAGAUGUGGCCCCCUGACCUAAAACUUCCCAGCCUCCAUUAUUGUAAUAAAUAAAUCCUAUUCUUUAUAAAUUAUCUAGGUUCGUUAUUCUGUGAUAAGCAGUAGAAAACAGACUAAGACAAUUCCCAUGGAUAAAAGGUUUGAUUGAACAUAAAUUCACAAUCCAAAAUUUCAUACCAAAAGAAAGAUUCCCAUGCAUGAAUGCAAGCAGUAAAAACAGCUUUAUUAGACUUCCAGGAACUUCAGAUAACGAGCAAUCAGAUAGAGAGUAUAAAAUGAGUUUUAUAUUUUUAAAAGGUUUAAGGAAACAGUAUCAGGAAUAAGAUGUAACUAAGAACACACACAUAAACAAGGCCUGACAGGUUUUAUAAAAUAAAGUAGAACUUCUAAAAAAUAAAAAAGUGAUAAUCAAAUUUUAGAAUACAAUGGAAUACUUAAAUAACCAAAUUAGAUUCAGUUGUAAAAAGAAUUAGCAAACUGGAAAAAUCUGAGGGAAGUACCUAAAGUGCAGCACAGAGUUGCAAGAAUGGAAAAAUAUAAAAAACAUUGAAUAUGUGAGCAUUUGAAGGACACAUAUAUGUUGUACUGAUGAUAUUCUACAUGGAUGAAAGAGAAUGAGGGGAUAUGAGAAAUAUUUAAAGAGAUAAUUGGUGAGAAUUUUCCAGAACAGGUAGAAGACAUGAAUCGUUAGAUUCAGGAAGCACAAUAAAUCUCAAAUUCUCCUACUGCAUUUCAGCAUACAUCACACAUUUUAAUGAAAUAUAACUAUAUUUCCCAAAACAAACUGUUAAUGAGAAGAGUGGCGUUGUUUUACAUUUUUGCUAAUCUCUUUAAUGUCUAGUUUAGUAGAAUACUGUUGGAUUCUCAUAUGUGCUUUUGGAUUCAACCUGUUCCAAUAUCACAUGUCAUAUAGCCUUUGGAAAACAAAUCUGCAAGAGAAUGAGAAUGAAAAAGACAAAUUAUGUCUUAGCAUUAUUAUAAAUAUACUUUUGGCCUUGUGUAACUCCUGAAAAAUUCUCCAGGUUCUUCAAGGGUCUUUAGAACAUACUUGGAGGAACACUGAUUUAUGUAUUUAUUUAAAAAAAUUUUCUUUAGAGAUUAGGUCUUGCUUUGUUUCCCAGGCUGGAGUGCAGUGGUGCAAUCAUAGCUCACUGCACCCUUGAACUCUUGGGCUGAAGCAAUCCUCCUAUGUCAGCUUUCCAAGUAGCUGGGACAAUAGGGGCACACCACCAUGCCCAGCUAAUUUUUAAAAUUUUUUAGAGGUAGGGUCUCACUAUGCUGUCCAAGCUGGUCUCAAACUCCCAGCCUCAAGUGAUCCUCCUUCCUCAGCCUACUGAGUAUCUGGGAUUAUAGGUGUGAGACACUGUGACCAGCUAGGACCACUGAUUUUGUGUAAGUUUUUUAUUAUGGGUUAUGGGUGGUGGACUGGGUGUGUUACAAACAAAUAUUCUACACACGUACACACACAGGUACAUACACACACACAAACAACCAUAUAUGCUCUACAUGAAUCCCAGUUUUUCAGGGAAUUAGAAUACAUACAAUAAGGUACACUUGGAUUUGAAACUCAGGGGAUUUCAUUUCUCUUCCAUGAUUUAAAGGGUACUUCAGGAUCCUGCAAUACCAUCUUUGUGAACAUCAGGAAUAUUACGUUGGUACAUACAGAAAGAAGUCUUGAGUAAUACCAGAUAUUUUUGGUUAAUAAGAUG
rnacentral:lncRNA from 1 species